rfam:Ixodes scapularis strain Wikel colony gcontig_1108379777330, whole genome shotgun sequence.
GCAGUCGUGGCCGAGUGGUUAAGGCGAAGGACUAAAAAUCCACUGGGGUCUCCCCGCACAGGUUCAAAUACUGUCAAUUGCG